rnacentral:lncRNA from 1 species
CAGCACCAUAACUCCAGACGUUGCCUGUUUGUCUAUCAAUUAUAACUUGUGCCUUUUUUGAUGGUCCCUGCCUCUGAGUAGGACUAGAUUUAAUAAACAUGAGUUUAGUGAAGAUAAGACUACGUUAUCUGAGUACCACAGAGGUGGGAAAAAAAUAUGAUAUCAAAGAGAGAAGAGCUAUACCUGCUAGAACUGGUGUAAAUUAGUCUUUCCUUUUCCUACCCCAGGAACUUUCGUGUUACACCUGAUAGAAAGCGAGAGAAAUAAAACUAGACAUGGUCCACAGAGAGCCUAUAAUUGAAUACCUCCACCUCUGACCACUGUGCUCUGGGCCUCUUUCUGUGCAAAUUGCAGGAAGGAAGUUGCAGUUAAAAUAAUUAAAUGAGUUUUCAGAAGAUAAGAUGUAUAAAAUACCAGCACUUGAGUUUGCAGUGUCAGAAAAUUUCAAGACUAUAUUUCCAUGUAUCGAAGACGACAGAAAGCUCCAUAUAAAGCAGUAUGCUUUGCUCUGAGCCUUUUAUUUUUCACAGUCCAAGAAGAUUAGAUCAACUGGUGACACUUGGUCAACUGGAUGGAUAAGCUGGUCUAAAAAGACAUCAGUUGGUUACACUGUACUUUUCCCUUGUGUACCCAUAUUAGUUGUGAGCAAUGUCUGCAUUGUCUUUCAUUUAUUUUUCAGUAGCUCCUAUAAUAAUGUUCUCCACAUUCUUGCCAGGCACUGAACUCUAAUCAUUAGCUUUUUCUUUCUUAUCCUUCUUGAAAACUGGGAUGUUCAUCAGCUUCCAAUCAACUGGGUCCUCAACAUAUUAAAAGAUUUUCGAGAAAGACAAAUCAGUCCAGCCACUCACAGUGCUGGUGGUCAGUUUGAAAGUCCAUCCCAGGCUACAGUCUAGACUUCC